ensembl:piRNA 21ur-4797 ncRNA
UUGUGACAGAACGCAUUUUUU